CAGUAGCCGCGGUAAUACGGAGGGGGCUAGCGUUGUUCUGAAUUACUGGGCGUAAAGCGCACGUAGGCGGCUUGGUAAGUUAGAGGUGAAAGCCCGGAGCUCAACUCCGGAAUUGCCUUUAAGACUGCCGAGCUAGCAGGUGAGAGAGGUAAGUGGAAUUCCGAGUGUAGAGGUGAAAUUCGUAGAUAUUCGGAAGAACACCAGUGGCGAAGGCGGCUUACUGGCUCAUACUGGACGCUGAGGUGCGAAAGCGUGGGGAGCAAACAGGAUUAGAUACCCGCGUAGUCCCUGUCUCUUAUAA
rnacentral:rRNA from 1 species